UUCUUCUUGUUCUUUCUAUUGGCGGGUUCUUACUCUUAUGGGUAUAGUGAUUUUGAAAUAUUGAUGAAGCUCAAGUCCUACUUGCUUGGACUAAAUGGCCAUGGCCUGGAUGACUAGAAACUCUCGCAGUCUUCCUUAGUUAUCUGUUCCUCUGUAAUUAAUUUAUAGUCUCUUUGCUACUCAUAGUUAUAUUAAUUUGGCGUUCUAGUAAUUUUAUGAUGCUGGGAGUGCUACAUAUAAAACAAGUGGAAUCGUUUACUUUUUUGCUGCAUGUGCAUCGACAAUGAUAAAUAUUUGUUGUUCCUCAUAUCCUUUCAGUUAAGAAUGUCUAACUGCUUUUGCAUUUCUUCAUUCUUUGAAGUAUAUUGGAUGCUUCUGAUAUACUAUGACUAUGUAGAGUCUAUUUUCCAUUUUAUUUUUAUUACUUGCAGUGCUUUGAAG
rnacentral:misc_RNA from 1 species